GCUCCAGUGGCCUAGUGGUUAGAGUGUCCACCUCGGAUGUGGGAGGUCGCGGGUUUGAAUCCCAGCUGAGUCA